rnacentral:rRNA from 1 species
AAAUUGAAGAGUUUGAUCAUGGCUCAGAUUGAACGCUGGCGGCAGGCCUAACACAUGCAAGUCGAGCGGUAGCACAGAGAGCUUGCUCUCGGGUGACGAGCGGCGGACGGGUGAGUAAUGUCUGGGAAACUGCCUGAUGGAGGGGGAUAACUACUGGAAACGGUAGCUAAUACCGCAUAAUGUCGCAAGACCAAAGUGGGGGACCUUCGGGCCUCAUGCCAUCAGAUGUGCCCAGAUGGGAUUAGCUAGUAGGUGGGGUAACGGCUCACCUAGGCGACGAUCCCUAGCUGGUCUGAGAGGAUGACCAGCCACACUGGAACUGAGACACGGUCCAGACUCCUACGGGAGGCAGCAGUGGGGAAUAUUGCACAAUGGGCGCAAGCCUGAUGCAGCCAUGCCGCGUGUGUGAAGAAGGCCUUCGGGUUGUAAAGCACUUUCAGCGGGGAGGAAGGCGUUAAGGUUAAUAACCUUGGCGAUUGACGUUACCCGCAGAAGAAGCACCGGCUAACUCCGUGCCAGCAGCCGCGGUAAUACGGAGGGUGCAAGCGUUAAUCGGAAUUACUGGGCGUAAAGCGCACGCAGGCGGUCUGUCAAGUCGGAUGUGAAAUCCCCGGGCUCAACCUGGGAACUGCAUUCGAAACUGGCAGGCUAGAGUCUUGUAGAGGGGGGUAGAAUUCCAGGUGUAGCGGUGAAAUGCGUAGAGAUCUGGAGGAAUACCGGUGGCGAAGGCGGCCCCUGGACAAAGACUGACGCUCAGGUGCGAAAGCGUGGGGAGCAAACAGGAUUAGAUACCCUGGUAGUCCACGCCGUAAACGAUGUCGAUUUGGAGGUUGUGCCCUUGAGGCGUGGCUUCCGGAGCUAACGCGUUAAAUCGACCGCCUGGGGAGUACGGCCGCAAGGUUAAAACUCAAAUGAAUUGACGGGGGCCCGCACAAGCGGUGGAGCAUGUGGUUUAAUUCGAUGCAACGCGAAGAACCUUACCUGGUCUUGACAUCCACAGAACUUUCCAGAGAUGGAUUGGUGCCUUCGGGAACUGUGAGACAGGUGCUGCAUGGCUGUCGUCAGCUCGUGUUGUGAAAUGUUGGGUUAAGUCCCGCAACGAGCGCAACCCUUAUCCUUUGUUGCCAGCGGUCCGGCCGGGAACUCAAAGGAGACUGCCAGUGAUAAACUGGAGGAAGGUGGGGAUGACGUCAAGUCAUCAUGGCCCUUACGACCAGGGCUACACACGUGCUACAAUGGCAUAUACAAAGAGAAGCGACCUCGCGAGAGCAAGCGGACCUCAUAAAGUAUGUCGUAGUCCGGAUUGGAGUCUGCAACUCGACUCCAUGAAGUCGGAAUCGCUAGUAAUCGUAGAUCAGAAUGCUACGGUGAAUACGUUCCCGGGCCUUGUACACACCGCCCGUCACACCAUGGGAGUGGGUUGCAAAAGAAGUAGGUAGCUUAACCUUCGGGAGGGCGCUUACCACUUUGUGAUUCAUGACUGGGGUGAAGUCGUAACAAGGUAACCGUAGGGGAACCUGCGGUUGGAUCACCUCCUUA